CUCUGCUCUGCGAUCUGGAGCCAUCUGCUCUUGCAGGUCGCCUUUGUCAGCAGACCCAUGAGGUCCAGUGAGGUGGCUCUAGCCCAAUACCAAGUCAGCGAAAACACGAGCAGCAAGGACUGCAUCAGGAAGAUUAGCAAGAAAGCAUAAGGACAUUGAAUACAAUCGAAAUUGGUGGAAGUGGCAGCUGCAGGACUCCAGGACAACAGCCAUUAAUUAGUCGCAGCCUUGUCUGUCGCACACACAGCCACACAGCCACACAGCUUCGGAGGCGAAGGACGAGAAACAGAA